rnacentral:rRNA from 1 species
UUACGGGAGGCAGCAGUGAGGAAUUUUCUGCAAUGGGCGAAAGCCUGACAGAGCAAUACCGCGUGAGGGAUGAAGGCCUACGGGUUGUAAACCUCUUUUCUCAAGGAGGAAGAUCUGACGUUACUUGAGGAAUAAGCAUCGGCUAACCCUGUGCCAGCAGCCGCGGUAAUACAGGGGAUGCAAGUGUUAUCCGGAAUUAUUGGGCGUAAAGCGUCUGCAGGUUGAUAUUUAAGUCUUUUGUUAAACCUCCGGGCUCAACCCGGAAUCUGCAAAGGAAACUAUAUAUCUUGAGUAUGGUAGGGGUAAAGGGAAUUUCCAGUGGAGCGGUGAAAUGCGUAGAUAUUGGAAAGAACACCAACAGCGAAGGCACUUUACUGGGCCAGUACUGACACUCAGAGACGAAAGCUAGGGGAGCAAACAGGAUUAGAAACCCUAGUAGUCCC